AAUCGAGCGAAUGGAUAAGAGCUUGCUCUUAUGAAGUUAGCGGCGGACGGGUGAGUAACACGUGGGUAACCUGCCCAUAAGACUGGGAUAACUCCGGGAAACCGGGGCUAAUACCGGAUAACAUUUUGAACCGCAUGGUUCGAAAUUGAAAGGCGGCUUCGGCUGUCACUUAUGGAUGGACCCGCGUCGCAUUAGCUAGUUGGUGAGGUAACGGCUCACCAAGGCAACGAUGCGUAGCCGACCUGAGAGGGUGAUCGGCCACACUGGGACUGAGACACGGCCCAGACUCCUACGGGAGGCAGCAGUAGGGAAUCUUCCGCAAUGGACGAAAGUCUGACGGAGCAACGCCGCGUGAGUGAUGAAGCUUUUCGGAUCGUAAAGCUCUGUUGUUAGGGAAGAACAAGUACCGUUCGAAUAGGGCGGUACCUUGACGGUACCUAACCAGAAAGCCACGGCUAACUACGUGCCAGCAGCCGCGGUAAUACGUAGGUGGCAAGCGUUGUCCGGAAUUAUUGGGCGUAAAGGGCUCGCAGGCGGUUUCUUAAGUCUGAUGUGAAAGCCCCCGGCUCAACCGGGGAGGGUCAUUGGAAACUGGGGAACUUGAGUGCAGAAGAGGAGAGUGGAAUUCCACGUGUAGCGGUGAAAUGCGUAGAGAUGUGGAGGAACACCAGUGGCGAAGGCGACUCUCUGGUCUGUAACUGACGCUGAGGAGCGAAAGCGUGGGGAGCGAACAGGAUUAGAUACCCUGGUAGUCCACGCCGUAAACGAUGAGUGCUAAGUGUUAGGGGGUUUCCGCCCCUUAGUGCUGCAGCUUAACGCAUUAACCCUCCCCCUGGGGAAUUCGGUCCCAAACUGAACUCAAAGAAUGACGGGGGCCCCCAACCGUGACUUUUUUAUUCCAAAACAAGCGGUGGAGCAUGUGGUUUAAUUCGAAGCAACGCGAAGAACCUUACCAGGUCUGACAUCCUUGACAACCCUAGAGAUAGGGCUUCUCCUUCGGGAGCAGAGUGACAGGUGGUGCAUGGUUGUCGUCAGCUCGUGUCGUGAGAUGUUGGGUUAAGUCCCGCUUCGAGGGCACCCUUGUUUUGUUGCCCAUUAAUAGUGGGCAAUUUAGGAUGCCGGGAAAACGGGGGGAGGUGGGGGAGAAGUUAAAUUAUUAGCCCUUAGCUGGGGUAAAAAAGGGUAAUGGGGGAAAAAGGGGUGAGGCCGGGGGGGGGGGUAUUUUAUAAACCGUUUUUAUUGGGUGUGGGUGAAUUGCCUAAAGGAGGUGGGAUUGGUGAUUGGGGGUUAGACCGGGGGAAAGUUCCGGGCCUUGAAAAACCGCCCGUUAAACAAGGGGGUUGUAAACCGGAGUUGGGGGGACCUUUUUGGAGCCAGCCGCCUAAGGUGGGACAGAUGAUUGGGUGAAUCGUAACA
rnacentral:rRNA from 1 species